CAGUAGCCGCGGGAAUACGUAGGGUGCAAGCGUUAAUCGGAAUUACUGGGCGUAAAGCGUGCGCAGGCGGUUCUAUAAGACAGAUGUGAAAUCCCCGGGCUCAACCUGGGAACUGCAUUUGUGACUGUAGAGCUGGAGUGCGGCAGAGGGGGAUGGAAUUCCGCGUGUAGCAGUGAAAUGCGUAGAUAUGCGGAGGAACACCGAUGGCGAAGGCAAUCCCCUGGGCCUGCACUGACGCUCAUGCACGAAAGCGAGGGGAGCAAACAGGAUUAGAUACCCCAGUAGUCCCUGUCUCUUAUAC
rnacentral:rRNA from 1 species